AAAAAAAAAAAAAAACCACAAAAUUUAUAAUGUCUACGUGAGGAUUUGGAUAAAAUGAGAUGCACUAAUUACGCUGAUUGAAAAGCACUGGAAACACUUCACUAUUUAGAAGCCAACUAGCAUUUUGAAAAAGACCCAAAAGUAUGCCAUCUAUUCAUCAGGGAGACCUACAACUAUUUCCCAAUUUCUGUAACUAUAACAUGCAAUCGUUGGCAUAUCCAUACAAGACCUACGCUGUUGCCAGAACCAACAGCCGCAAUACCAUUGGGAAGUCCCACAGCCAGUAUGAGAAAAGACGUUAUGGCUUCAUGAAUGAAGAUAAUAUACAAACAAAACUAAACGAACAUAGAAGCUAAGACAAUCAAGAAAUCCUUCUGUUCUUGACAGUACCAGCACAAGUAAGUAAAAAAACAUGCCAUAAUGCUCAACAUUUCAUGAAACUACUAACACGUAAAUUGCCAAAAUUUUAAAGGCCUUCUUCUUCUCAGCAAUUGCACAAACCACAAAAGAAAGCCAAUGGUAUAAGUUAACAGCACCUGAAAUCAAAAAGACCUACUAAAUUCUGGCAAGCUGGAUCCAAGUUUCCUAAAACACACACUUGCAUUGACAAAAUGAUUUUUUCCCUUCCAACAAAAGCACACAUCACAUACAAGCCAAUGGUAUAAACAUGCUAGGUUCCAAAACUAAAACCAUUUAGAAGCUUAAGAGAAAAAAAAUUAC
rnacentral:misc_RNA from 1 species